UGAACUUUUUAUAAUCACGCACAGAUCACAGCAAUUAUGGCAGAAAUGAAACAAAGAAAAAAAGAAAGUGAGACUAUUAGAAAAGAACUGGAAAAAACCGUUGAAGAGGUUGAAGAACUUACUACUGACUUGGAGUCCAAAAUCCAUAAAUUAAGAAAUCUUCACAAUAUAAAGUCUGAGAAGUGGAAACAUACUACAGAAAAAGCAGGAUUCUGAAUAGAAGUUCAAUAUAGCAAGUCAGCAUCUAGGAACCAAAAGGGACACCUUGAAACAACAAUCAAGUGAUACACAGGACCAGCUUUCCCGGGUUUUUGAGCAAAUUAAAAAUGCCAUGGAAAACAUAGAUAAAUUGCUUUCAGGAGCAGAAGAUUUAAUAAAGUAUGGAAUUGUAAUUGAAAAUGCAAAGAGAUCAACUAGAGCAUCAGUCACAAAGUUAC